rnacentral:rRNA from 1 species
UACGUAGGCAGCAAGCGUUGUUCGGAGUUACUGGGCGUAAAGGGUGUGUAGGCGGUUGCUUAAGUUUGGUGUGAAAUCUCCCGGCUCAACUGGGAGGGUGCGCCGAAUACUGAGUGACUCGAGUGCGGGAGAGGAAAGUGGAAUUCCAGGUGUAGCGGUGAAAUGCGUAGAUAUCUGGAGGAACACCGGUGGCGAAGGCGGCAUCCUGGACCAACACUGACGCUGAGUGAGCGAAAGCCAGGGGAGCAAACGGG